rnacentral:rRNA from 1 species
UGCGUAGGCAGCAAGCGUUGUUCGGAAUUACUGGGCGUAAAGAGUGUGUAGGCGGUGCUCUAAGUUUGGUGUGAAAUCUCCCGGCUCAACCGGGAGGCUGCAUCGAAUACUGGAAUGCUAGAGGGUGGGAGAGGUAAGCGGAAUUCCUGGUGUAGCGGUGAAAUGCGUAGAUAUCAGGAGGAACACCUGUGGUGUAGGCAGCUUACUGGACCACUUCUGACGCUGAGACACGAAAGCGUGGGUAGCAAACAGG